AUUGAACGCUGGCGGCAGGCCUAACACAUGCAAGUCGAGCGGCAGCACUUCGGGUGGCGAGCGGCGGACGGGUGAGUAACACGUAGGAAUCUACCUAGUAGUGGGGGAUAGCCCGGGGAAACUCGGAUUAAUACCGCAUACGCUCUACGGAGGAAAGGGGGCUUCGGCUCUCGCUAUUAGAUGAGCCUGCGUCGGAUUAGCUAGUUGGUGAGGUAAAGGCUCACCAAGGCGACGAUCCGUAACUGGUCUGAGAGGAUGAUCAGUCACACUGGAACUGAGACACGGUCCAGACUCCUACGGGAGGCAGCAGUGGGGAAUAUUGGACAAUGGGGGAAACCCUGAUCCAGCCAUGCCGCGUGUGUGAAGAAGGCC
rnacentral:rRNA from 1 species